AGUUUUUUUAAGAAGGCCAGGCACGAUAUCAAGAAGAUCAAGCACGAGAUCAAGAAGAUCAGUUGAGAUAUAGUGAGAUCUUUAAUAAAAUAUAGGGUCUGGGUAAUGGGAAUCACAAAAACAAUAAAUCUAUAGAGGAGGUGAUCGAGUUAGAAAUCCAGGAGAGGGCACUCAAAGAGACUGAGCGCGAGAUCAAGGAGAUCAGGUGAGAUAUAGUGAGAUCAAUAAUGACAUACUGAGUCUUGGUGAUGGGGUUCGUAAAACAUAAGUGUGUUUUUGUGAUACAAAGACUCAUCAUUUUUGCUUUUGAGAGUGGCUUCAGAAGAGAAGUUUUAGAGAUGUUUUUAUCAUUUGCAUGCGGGGCCAAACCCUUUAUGUUUUAAUUUUAAAAGUAUGAAUUGUAUUUUAGAAAUGAAAUGUGGUGAUAAUAAACAGUGUUCCGAAGUCCAAAGAAAAAAUACAAAACAGGACCAGAGGAAACAUGGACCUUUACAAAAAUUAGAGCACCACCAAAUGUUGACCACCUCCUCAUCUGAUGGUUGUGUACAAGUUCACCAGCUGAGCUCAGGGGAGCCCAUUCCUGUUUCAUCCUUGAAAGUUCAUAAUAAUGAGGCCUGGAUCACAGUUUCAGUUACUGAGACACCAAUGUUGUCUGCACAGGUUUGAUGUUAACUAAUGGGCUAGAAUAUGAAAAAGUCUUCUUCACUAAUACUCUUCAGUAAAAGCUAUGAUGAGCACCUCCUUGUGUGGAACUGCAGACAGAUGAAGCAUCCACUGGCAGACACACAUUUAGGCGGGACAUCUGUAGGGUCAAUUGGCACCCUGGUCACACACAGCCACGAUGUACA